AUGUUCUCUGUAUCUCUGAUGCUGCUGCUGACAGCUGGGUCAGGGGUCUUCUGUAUUGAUCUAAUCCAGCCAGACUCUAAAGUUUUGCAGCCUGGAGAGUCUCUGACUAUCACCUGUAAGCCCUCUGGUUACUCUAUAACUGAUAGCAGCUAUGCAACAGGUUGGAUCAGACAUCGCAAAGGAAAAGCAAUGGAAUGGAUCUUUCAUAUGUGGGGUGAUGGGAGCUUAACCCAGAAUGAUGCUCUGAAGAACAAGUUCAGCUACAGCAGAGACACUUCGGCUGGAACAGUAACAAUAACGGGACAGAAUAUGCAGCCUGAAGACACAGCUGUUUAUUACUGUGUGAGGUGGCACAGUGAUACAAACCACAGAGGAUGCUAUGUGUUCUGUAUUGAUCUCAUCCAGCCAGACUCUAAAGUUGUGCAGCCUGGACAGUUUCUGACUAUCACCUGUCAGCUCUCUGGUUACUCUAUAACUGAUAACAGCUAUGCAACAGGUGUGUUCUGUAUUGAUCUCAUCCAGCCAGACUCUAAAGUUGUGCAGCCUGGACAGUCUCUGACUAUCACCUGUCAGCCCUCUGGUUACUCUAUAACUGAUGGCAGCUAUGCAACAGAACCUGACUUGCCUGGAAACCUGAAACACUGA